rnacentral:ribozyme from 1 species
UGCCCAGCAACUCCUAUCCCUACCUCCUCGUGGUACUGGCCGGAAGAUCGAGUAACCAACCCCCGGUGGGAACUUUGGUCGUAUGCUGACAGGGAAGG